rnacentral:rRNA from 1 species
UGGGGAAUAUUGCGCAAUGGGCGAAAGCCUGACGCAGCCAUACCGCGUGUGUGAAGAAGGCCUUCGGGUUGUAAAGCACUUUCAGUGGGGAGGAAAAGCUGGCGGCUAAUAUCCGCCGGCCGUGACGCUACCCACAGAAGAAGCACCGGCUAAUUCCGUGCCAGCAGCCGCGGUAAUACGGAAGGUGCGAGCGUUAAUCGGAAUUACUGGGCGUAAAGCGCACGUAGGCGGCUUGGUAAGUCGGAUGUGAAAGCCCCGGGCUCAACCUGGGAACUGCAUUCGAUACUGCUGGGCUAGAGUACGAAAGAGGGGGGUGGAAUUCCAGGUGUAGCGGUGAAAUGCGUAGAGAUCUGGAGGAACACCGGUGGCGAAGGCGGCCCCCUGGUUCGAUACUGACGCUGAGGUGCGAAAGCGUGGGGAGCAAACAGG